CUUUGAUACUGAUUAUCUUGAGUUAUUAUGAAGAAGUUAGAAUAUGUAGUGUAGCGGUGAAAUGCAUAGAUAUUACAUAGAAUACCAAUUGCGAAGGCAGAUUACUAAUAAUCAACUGACACUGAUGGACGAAAGCGUGGGUAGCGAACAGGAUUAGAUACCCUGGUAGUCCACGCCGUAAACGAUGGUUACUAGCUGUUUGGACCUUGUGUCUGAGUGGCUAAGCGAAAGUGAUAAGUAACCCACCUGGGGAGUACGUUCGCAAGAAUGAAACUCAAAGGAAUUGACGGGGGCCCGCACAAGCGGUGGAGCAUGUGGUUUAAUUCGAUGAUACGCGAGGAACCUUACCAGGGCUUAAAUGUAAGUUGCAUUAGUUAGAGAUAGCUAUUUCUUCGGACCACUUACAAGGUGCUGCAUGGUUGUCGUCAGCUCGUGCCGUGAGGUGUCAGGUUAAGUCCUAUAACGAGCGCAACCCCUGUUGUUAGUUGCCAGCGAUUCAAGUCGGGAACUCUAACAAGACUGCCAGUGCAAACUGUGAGGAAGGUGGGGAUGACGUCAAAUCAUCACGGCCCUUACGUCCUGGGCUACACACGUGCUACAAUGGGUAGGGACAGAGAGCAGCCACUACGCGAGUAGGAGCGAAUCUAUAAACCCUAUCACAGUUC
rnacentral:rRNA from 1 species